GUCGCGUUUUACUGGAGAGACAGAACAUAUCCACUGUAUAGCAUUUGGUUUUAUCCAGCCGGGGUCUAACCAACGACCUUUUUCACUCGAUGCAAACACGAUACUAUUAGACAAUUCUCUCAACAAAUCGAAUUUUACAAUUACAACCAGUGUUUCAAAGUUCCAUACACUUUUUACAAUCAUUAAACACCUGACAAAUGUGCACCCGCU
rnacentral:lncRNA from 1 species